rnacentral:rRNA from 2 species
UAACAAGGAUUCCCCUAGUAACGGCGAGUGAAGCGGGAAGAGCUCAAAUUUGAAAUCUGGCGGUCUCAGGCCGUCCGAGUUGUAAUCUAGAGAGGUGUUUUCCGUGCCGGACCGUGUACAAGUCCCUUGGAACAGGGCGUCAUAGAGGGUGAGAAUCCCGUCCAUGACACGGACUCCCGGUGCUCUGUGAUACACCUUCAAAGAGUCGAGUUGUUUGGGAAUGCAGCUCAAAAUGGGUGGUAAAUUCCAUCUAAAGCUAAAUAUAGGCGAGAGACCGAUAGCGAACAAGUACCGUGAGGGAAAGAUGAAAAGAACUUUGGAAAGAGAGUUAAACAGUACGUGAAAUUGUUGAAAGGGAAACGCUUGAAGUCAGUCGCGUCCGCCGGGACUCAGCCUUGCUUAUGCUUGGUGCAUUUCCUGGUGGAUGGGCCAGCAUCGAUUUUGGUCGGUGGACAAGGGCGGAGGGAAUGUGGCAGCUUGCUGUGUUAUAGCCUUCCGUCGUACACGCUGACUGGGAUCGAGGACUGCAGCACGCCUUUGGUCGGGGUUCGCCCACGCCACGUGCUUAGGAUGCUGGCGUAAUGGCUUUAAACGACCCGUCUUGAAACACGGACCAAGGAGUCUAACAUGCCUGCGAGUGUUUGGGUGUUAAACCCAGGCGCGUAAUGAAAGUGAAAAGUUGGGACUCUUCAGUGAGGCACCGACGCCCGAUCCUGACGUUCUCUGACGGAUUUGAGGUAGAGCAUGUAUGUUGGGACCCGAAAGAUGGUGAACUAUGCCUGAAUAGGGUGAAGUCAGAGGAAACUCUGGUGGAGGCUCGUAGCGAUUCUGACGUGCAAAUCGAUCGUCAAAUUUGGG